rnacentral:rRNA from 1 species
CGGACGGGUGAGUAAUGUCUGGGAAACUGCCCGAUGGAGGGGGAUAACUACUGGAAACGGUAGCUAAUACCGCAUAACGCGCAAGACCAAAGAGGGGGACCUUCGGGCCUCUUGCCAUCGGAUGUGCCCAGAUGGGAUUAGCUAGUAGGUGGGGUAACGGCUCACCUAGGCGACGAUCCCUAGCUGGUCUGAGAGGAUGACCAGCCACACUGGAACUGAGACACGGUCCAG